UACGUAGGGUGCAAGCGUUGUCCGGAAUUAUUGGGCGUAAAGAGCUCGUAGGCGGUUUGUCGCGUCUGCUGUGAAAUCCCAGGGCUUAACCCUGGGCCUGCAGUGGGUACGGGCAAACUAGAGUGCGGUAGGGGAGAUCGGAAUUCCUGGUGUAGCGGUGAAAUGCGCAGAUAUCAGGAGGAACACCAGUGGCGAAGGCGGCUCACUGGCCCGGUACUGACGCUGAGGUGCGAAAGCGUGGGGAGCAAACAGG
rnacentral:rRNA from 1 species